rnacentral:lncRNA from 10 species
GUAGAUUGUAAAGUAGCUCUGAACCAAAGUUGAGCCACAUUCGGUCACUCAAGAGUAUAUUCAUCAUUUCUCUGAAUGACAACUUUAGAAAUCUUCUUCCUAUCUCUAUCAAGUUCACCGUCCCUAUGUCGAAGAACACAGUGAAAAGUAUAAAGAGAAAAGGCAAUACUUACAUAUGGUGAAACAAAUCCCAACAAUGUUUACCAGUAAUGGAAUGAUCGAGAGGCUGUUGAUCAGAAAACGUAUGGAACUGUAUUUUGGGAAGCUUGAAAUAUUUUCAUCAUUUGACUUGUGGUGCCAUGGUAUAUAAGUAAGUAAAAUGUAUUGAAUUUUACAAUUAAGAUCUGU